CCUACGGGAGGCAGCAGUGGGGAAUAUUGGGCAAUGGGCGCAAGCCUGACCCAGCAACGCCGCGUGAAGGAAGAAGGCUUUCGGGUUGUAAACUUCUUUUCUGAGGGACGAAGAAAGUGACGGUACCCCAGGAAUAAGCCACGGCUAACUACGUGCCAGCAGCCGCGGUAAUACGUAGGUGGCAAGUGUUAUCCGGAUUUAUUGGGUGUAAAGGGCGUGUAGGCGGGAAAGCAAGUCAGAUGUGAAAACUCAGGGCUCAACCCUGGGCCUGCAUUUGAAACUGUUUUUCUUGAGUGCUGGAGAGGCAAGCGGAAUUCGGGGUGUAGCGGUGAAAUGCGUAGAUAUACGGAGGAACACCAGUGGCGAAGGCGGAUUGCUGGACAGUAACUGACGCUGAGGCGCGAAAGCGUGGGGAGCAAACAGGAUUAGAUACCCCUGUAGUC
rnacentral:rRNA from 1 species